UACGUAGGGUGCAAGCGUUUGUCCGGAAUUAUUGGGCGUAAAGAGCUCGUAGGCGGUCUGUUACGUCGGCUGUGAAAACUCGGGGCUUAACCCCGGGCCUGCAGUGGGUACGGGCAGACUAGAGUGCGGUAGGGGAGACUGGAAUUCCUGGUGUAGCGGUGAAAUGCGCAGAUAUCAGGAGGAACACCGGUGGCGAAGGCGGGUCUCUGGGCCGUAACUGACGCUGAGGAGCGAAAGCGUGGGGAGCGAACAGG
rnacentral:rRNA from 1 species